CCUCUUAACGUCGUCGGGUGUGCCAAAGGACUCGUUCAACAUUUGCAGCAUGUCCUGUGGCUGAGCAUUCUCAAAACGACGGCUAAACUCAUCAUUCAUCACUGCCAACAUAAUACAACGAACUGUAGUCCGAUCAUUGUGCCAUUUUUGAUAAGUGUCUUAGAUCGAGAUACGUGCAUUUGGAGCUGGCUCCUCGAGUGCCAGAUCAGUUAACACAUACA
rnacentral:lncRNA from 1 species